rnacentral:sRNA from 1 species
UAACUAAACAAACCAAUUCGUGCGGAAG